UAGGGAAUCUUCGGCAAUGGGGGCAACCCUGACCGAGCAACGCCGCGUGAGUGAAGAAGGUUUUCGGAUCGUAAAGCUCUGUUGUAAGAGAAGAACGAGUGUGAGAGUGGAAAGUUCACACUGUGACGGUAACUUACCAGAAAGGGACGGCUAACUACGUGCCAGCAGCCGCGGUAAUACGUAGGUCCCGAGCGUUAUCCGGAUUUAUUGGGCGUAAAGCGAGCGCAGGCGGUUAGAUAAGUCUGAAGUUAAAGGCUGUGGCUUAACCAUAGUACGCUUUGGAAACUGUUUAACUUGAGUGCAGAAGGGGAGAGUGGAAUUCCAUGUGUAGCGGUGAAAUGCGUAGAUAUAUGGAGGAACACCGGUGGCGAAAGCGGCUCUCUGGUCUGUAACUGACGCUGAGGCUCGAAAGCGUGGGGAGCAAACAGGAUUAGGUACCCUGGUAGUCCACGCCGUAAACGAUGAGUGCUAGGUGUUGGGUCCUUUCCGGGACUCAGUGCCGCAGCUAACGCAUUAAGCACUCCGCCUGGGGAGUACGACCGCAAGGUUG
rnacentral:rRNA from 1 species